rnacentral:rRNA from 1 species
UGGGGAAUAUUGCACAAUGGGCGCAAGCCUGAUGCAGCCAUGCCGCGUGUAUGAAGAAGGCCUUCGGGUUGUAAAGUACUUUCAGUCGGGAGGAAGGUGUCAAGGUUAAUAACCUUGGCAAUUGACGUUACUGACAGAAGAAGCACCGGCUAACUCCGUGCCAGCAGCCGCGGUAAUACGGAGGGUGCAAGCGUUAAUCGGAAUUACUGGGCGUAAAGCGCACGCAGGCGGUUGAUUGAGUCAGAUGUGAAAUCCCCGGGCUUAACCCGGGAAUUGCAUCUGAUACUGGUCAGCUAGAGUCUUGUAGAGGGGGGUAGAAUUCCAUGUGUAGCGGUGAAAUGCGUAGAGAUGUGGAGGAAUACCGGUGGCGAAGGCGGCCCCCUGGACAAAGACUGACGCUCAGGUGCGAAAGCGUGGGGAGCAAACAGG